rnacentral:misc_RNA from 1 species
GAUGAAGAACGCAGCGAAAUGCGAUAAGUAAUGUGAAUUGCAGAAUUCAGUGAAUCAUCGAAUCUUUGAACGCACAUUGCGCCCGCCAGUAUUCUGGCGUGCAUGCCUGUUCGAGCGUCAUUUCAACCAUCAAGCCCCCGGCUUGUGUUGGGGACCUGCGGCUGCCGCAGGCCCUGAAAAGCAGUGGCGGGCUCGCUGUCACACCGAGCGUAGUAGCAUACAUCUCGCUCUGGGCGUGCUGCGGGUUCCGGCCGUUAAACCACCUUCAUAACCCAAGGUUGACCUCGGAUCAGGUAGGAAGACCCGCUGAACUUAAGCAUAUCAAUAAGCGGAGGA